AGAGUUUGAUCCUGGCUCAGGAUGAAUGCUGGCGGCGUGCUUAACACAUGCAAGUCGAGCGAAGCAGUUAAGAAGAUUCUUCGGAUGAUUCUUAACUGACUGAGCGGCGGACGGGUGAGUAACGCGUGGGUGACCUGCCCCAUACCGGGGGAUAACAGCUGGAAACGGCUGCUAAUACCGCAUAAGCGCACAGAGCUGCAUGGCUCGGUGUGAAAAACUCCGGUGGUAUGGGAUGGGCCCGCGUCUGAUUAGGCAGUUGGCGGGGUAACGGCCCACCAAGCCGACGAUCAGUGGCCGGCCUGAGAGGGCGACCGGCCACAUUGGGACUGAGACACGGCCCAAACUCCUACGGGAGGCAGCAGUGGGGAAUAUUGCACAAUGGGGGAAACCCUGAUGCAGCGACGCCGCGUGAGCGAAGAAGUAUUUCGGUAUGUAAAGCUCUAUCAGCAGGGAAGAUAAUGACGGUACCUGACUAAGAAGCCCCGGCUAACUACGUGCCAGCAGCCGCGGUAAUACGUAGGGGGCAAGCGUUAUCCGGAUUUACUGGGUGUAAAGGGAGCGUAGACGGCAAGGCAAGUCUGAUGUGAAAACCCAGGGCUUAACCCUGGGACUGCAUUGGAAACUGUCUGGCUCGAGUGCCGGAGAGGUAAGCGGAAUUCCUAGUGUAGCGGUGAAAUGCGUAGAUAUUAGGAAGAACACCAGUGGCGAAGGCGGCUUACUGGACGGUAACUGACGUUGAGGCUCGAAAGCGUGGGGAGCAAACAGAAGUAGAUACCCUGGUAGUCCACGCCGUAAAC
rnacentral:rRNA from 1 species